CCUACGGGGGGCUGCAGUAAGGAAUAUUGGUCAAUGGAGGGAACUCUGAACCAGCCAUCCCGCGUGCAGGAUGAAGGGGCUCUGCCCUGUAAACUGCUUUUGAAUGGGACGAAAAAGCCUCACUUGUGAGGAACUGACGGUACCAUUAGAAUAAGCACCGGCUAACUCCGUGCCAGCAGCCGCGGUAAUACGGAGGGUGCAAGCGUUAUCCGGAAUCACUGGGUUUAAAGGGUGCGUAGGCGGUUGUAUAAGUCAGUGGUGAAAGGCCGUAGCUUAACUAUGGGAUUGCCAUUGAUACUGUAUGACUUGAAUGAGGUUGAGGUUGGCGGAAUGUGGCAUGUAGCGGUGAAAUGCUUAGAUAUGCCAUGGAACAUCGAUUGCGAAGGCAGCUGACUGGACCUGAAUUGACGCUGAGGCACGAAAGCGUGGGGAGCGAACAGGCUUAGAUACCCUAGUAGUC
rnacentral:rRNA from 1 species